AUUGAACGCUGGCGGCAGGCCUAACACAUGCAAGUCGAGCGGAUGAAGGGAGAUUGCUCCUGGAUUCAGCGGCGGACGGGUGAGUAAUGCCUAGGAAUCUGCCUGGUAGUGGGGGAUAACGUCCGGAAACGGGCGCUAAUACCGCAUACGUCCUGAGGGAGAAAGUGGGGGAUCUUCGGACCUCACGCUAUCAGAUGAGCCUAGGUCGGAUUAGCUAGUUGGUGGGGUAAAGGCCUACCAAGGCGACGAUCCGUAACUGGUCUGAGAGGAUGAUCAGUCACACUGGAACUGAGACACGGUCCAGACUCCUACGGGAGGCAGCAGUGGGGAAUAUUGGACAAUGGGCGAAAGCCUGAUCCAGCCAUGCCGCGUGUGUGAAGAAGGUCUUCGGAUUGUAAAGCACUUUAAGUUGGGAGGAAGAGCAGUAAGUUAAUACCUUGCUGUUUUGACGUUACCAACAGAAUAAGCACCGGCUAACUUCGUG
rnacentral:rRNA from 1 species